UACGGAGGGAGCUAGCGUUAUUCGGAAUUACUGGGCGUAAAGCGCACGUAGGCGGUUACUCAAGUCAGAGGUGAAAGCCCGGAGCUCAACUCCAGAACUGCCUUUGAAACUAGGUGACUUGAAUCCAGGAGAGGUGAGUGGAAUUCCGAGUGUAGAGGUGAAAUUCGUAGAUAUUCGGAAGAACACCAGUGGCGAAGGCGGCUCACUGGACUGGUAUUGACGCUGAGGUGCGAAGGCCAGGGGAGCAAACGGG
rnacentral:rRNA from 1 species